GACGAACGCUGGCGGCGUGCCUAAUACAUGCGAGUUGAGCGCUGAAGGUUGGUACUUGUACCGACUGGAUGAGCAGCGAACGGGUGAGUAACGCGUGGGGAAUCUGCCUUUGAGCGGGGGACAACAUUUGGAAACGAAUGCUAAUACCGCAUAAAAACUUUAAACACAAGUUUUAAGUUUGAAAGAUGCAAUUGCCUCACUCAAAGAUGAUCCCGCGUUGUAUUAGCUAGUUGGUGAGGUAAAGGCUCACCAAGGCGAUGAUACAUAGCCGACCUGAGAGGGUGAUCGGCCACAUUGGGACUGAGACACGGCCCAAACUCCUACGGGAGGCAGCAGUAGGGAAUCUUCGGCAAUGGACGAAAGUCUGACCGAGCAACGCCGCGUGAGUGAAGAAGGGUUUCGGAUCGUAAAACUCUGUUGGUAGAGAAGAACGUUGGUGAGAGUGGAAAGCUCAUCAAGUGACGGUAACUACCCAGAAAGGGACGGCUAACUACGUG
rnacentral:rRNA from 1 species